CUAAUUAGCAUCUAGAUGGGAAAUGAUAUGACAGGCUAGGGUAGAAUGACAGACUUAAAAAGAGGAAAAAAUGGUGAGAGACAAGCAAGAAAUGAGAUUCUGAUUUGGGAUUGUGGUGGACUUUUGUAUAGAACAGCAGUUCAUUUAUUUGGAAAGCUUUGGACAGGCAACUGAACUGAUUUGCUAGACCCAAAAGUAUUUUAUUUGCAUAAACACAGGAAAAUAUCCCUAAAUAGAUUUAUCUUAGUUUGAUACCUGAUAUAAUUCCAUGCCACUGAAAAAUUCUCUGCAUAAUUCUUUCAAAUUAAUUGAAAGAUUCACUAUGAUUUCAGUGACGCUCUACUGAGAUUACCAUCAGUUCGCAGUAGGGUAGGUCUAAGUCACAAAAUUUUUCUCCUCAGUUAUCCAGUAUCAACAAGUUUAUUCAGGGGCUGUAUCUUCUUUCUUUCCCACACACUAUUUCAAAUACGUUCUUACUUUCUUCCAGAACCACGGUCUUUGUCUCUGCUUUCCUGUCUUAACCAGUGCUUGACAGUUUUCUUGUUUUAUUCCCUUGAUAUCGCCCACAUCACAACUUUUUCUAUACCUCUUGCUCAACAGUCCUGCUGCCUUUCUGAAUCUUAAAAUGAUAAUUAAUAAGACAGAAAGGAAUACAGUUUCUAAUGUUUCCUGAUUAAAGUGUUUGCAAUUCAGCUUUCAGGUGAUAACAUCUCUAUGAGACACGUAGUGCAUGUUAGACAAUAAGGAUCUUGUUAUUUCUUGUACUUGCAACAUUUCCCCUUGUCUGAUGAUAAUCCGUAUGCCUUAUACCUGAAGAUAAUCCAGAAUGUCCUGUCCUCCCCAAAAUCAGUGACUCUAAAAAGAAAAAAUAAAAUAAAGCAAGCAAAGAAACAAAUAAAAAAGGAUUUGAUAGGUAGAUUUUUUUCCCAUGAACACACCAGGAUCAAAUCCCUAUCACCCAGAGAUUCUGAAGGAAAUAACACUUCACUAUACAUCCAAUUGGCCAACAUUAAAAGUAAGAACACAAGAGA
ensembl:lncRNA